UAUCUCUCCGUACGGGGAAGGAUGAGAAGCUUCGACUAAGGUUCGAUUCGAGCGCAGCGAGAAAGCGUUGCCGCAGGCAACGACCCGAAGGGCGAAGCGCGCAGCGCU
rnacentral:sRNA from 1 species